GCCUUCGUGGUGUAAUGGUAGCACACUCGGCGCGGAUUCGAGAUGCCCAGGUUCAAUUCCCGGCGAGGGCA
rnacentral:tRNA from 1 species